GCUGGGGUGCCGCAUCUGCGGCUGAGAUGAUACCCAUUGAACCUGAUGCGGACAAUACCGCCGAAGGGAAUAGCGUGU
rnacentral:ncRNA from 1 species